AUACGGAGGGUGCAAGCGUUAUUCGGAAUCACUGGGCGUAAAGGACGCGUAGGCGGGUUGGCAAGUCAGAUGUGAAAUCCUACAGCUUAACUGUAGAACUGCAUUUGAAACUGCUAACCUAGAGUAUGGGAGGGGGAGAUGGAAUUAGUGGUGUAGGGGUAAAAUCCGUAGAUAUCACUAGGAAUACCGAAAGCGAAGGCGAUCUCCUGGAACAUAACUGACGCUAAGGCGUGAAAGCGUGGGGAGCAUACAGGAUUAGAAACCCCAGUAGUCC
rnacentral:rRNA from 1 species